GAUGUGGAUUAAUUCGAUGCAACGCGAAAACCUUACCUACCCUUGACAUGUCUGGAAUCUUGGUGAGAGCCGAGGUGCUUCGGAGCCAGAACACAGGUGCUGCAUGGCUGUCGUCAGCUCGUGUCGUGAGAUGUUGGGUUAAGUCCCGCAACGAGCGCAACCCUUGUCACUAGUUGCCAUCAUUUGGUUGGGCACUCUAGUGAGACUGCCGGUGACAAACCGGAGGAAGGUGGGGAUGACGUCAAGUCCUCAUGGCCCUUAUGGGUAGGGCUUCACACGUCAUACAAUGGUCGGUACAGAGGGUUGCCAAGCCGCGAGGUGGAGCCAAUCCCUUAAAGCCGAUCGUAGUCCGGAUCGUAGUCUGCAACUCGACUACGUGAAGUCGGAAUCGCUAGUAAUCGCAGGUCAGCAUACUGCGGUGAAUACGUUCCCGGGUCUU
rnacentral:rRNA from 1 species